GGAGCUUGCUCCUGAUGUUAGCGGCGGACGGGUGAGUAACACGUGGGUAACCUGCCUGUAAGACUGGGAUAACUCCGGGAAACCGGGGCUAAUACCGGAUGCUUGUUUGAACCGCAUGGUUCAAACAUAAAAGGUGGCUUCGGCUACCACUUACAGAUGGACCCGCGGCGCAUUAGCUAGUUGGUGAGGUAAUGGCUCACCAAGGCGACGAUGCGUAGCCGACCUGAGAGGGUGAUCGGCCACACUGGGACUGAGACACGGCCCAGACUCCUACGGGAGGCAGCAGUAGGGAAUCUUCCGCAAUGGACGAAAGUCUGACGGAGCAACGCCGCGUGAGUGAUGAAGGUUUUCGGAUCGUAAAGCUCUGUUGUUAGGGAAGAACAAGUACCGUUCGAAUAGGGCGGUACCUUGACGGUACCUAACCAGAAAGCCACGGCUAACUACGUGCCAGCAGCCGCGGUAAUACGUAGGUGGCAAGCGUUGUCCGGAAUUAUUGGGCGUAAAGGGCUCGCAGGCGGUUUCUUAAGUCUGAUGUGAAAGCCCCCGGCUCAACCGGGGAGGGUCAUUGGAAACUGGGGAACUUGAGUGCAGAAGAGGAGAGUGGAAUUCCACGUGUAGCGGUGAAAUGCGUAGAGAUGUGGAGGAACACCAGUGGCGAAGGCGACUCUCUGGUCUGUAACUGACGCUGAGGAGCGAAAGCGUGGGGAGCGAACAGGAUUAGAUACCCUGGUAGUCCACGCCGUAAACGAUGAGUGCUAAGUGUUAGGGGGUUUCCGCCCCUUAGUGCUGCAGCUAACGCAUUAAGCACUCCGCCUGGGGAGUACGGUCGCAAGACUGAAACUCAAAGGAAUUGACGGGGGCCCGCACAAGCGGUGGAGCAUGUGGUUUAAUUCGAAGCAACGCGAAGAACCUUACCAGGUCUUGACAUCCUCUGACAAUCCUAGAGAUAGGACGUCCCCUUCGGGGGCAGAGUGACAGGUGGUGCAUGGUUGUCGUCAGCUCGUGUCGUGAGAUGUUGGGUUAAGUCCCGCAACGAGCGCAACCCUUGAUCUUAGUUGCCAGCAUUCAGUUGGGCACUCUAAGGUGACUGCCGGUGACAAACCGGAGGAAGGUGGGGAUGACGUCAAAUCAUCAUGCCCCUUAUGACCUGGGCUACACACGUGCUACAAUGGACAGAACAAGGGCAGCGAAACCGCGAGGUUAAGCCAAUCCCACAAAUCUGUUCUCAGUUCGGAUCGCAGUCUGCAACUCGACUGCGUGAAGCUGGAAUCGCUAGUAAUCGCGGAUCA
rnacentral:rRNA from 1 species